rnacentral:rRNA from 1 species
AGAGUUUGAUCCUGGCUCAGAACGAACGUUGGCGGCGUGGUUGAGGCAUGCAAGUCGCGCGAGAACGGGGUAGCAAUACUCCUAGUAAAGCGGCGGAAGGGUGAGGAAUGGGUAGAUAACGUACCCUAGAGAUGGGCAUAACGGCUCGAAAGAGCCGCUAAUUCCCGAUAAGACCACGGCUGGGCAUCCAGCAGGGGUCAAAAGCUGGGGAUCUUCGGACCUGGCGCUCAUGGAUCGGUCUACUCCCUACCAGCUAGUUGGCGGGGUAACGGCCCACCAAGGCUACGACGGGUACCCGGGCUGAGAGGCUGAUCGGGCACAUCGGCACUGAGACACUGGCCGGACACCUACGGGUGGCUGCAGUUCGGAAUAUUCGGCAAUGGACGAAAGUCUGACCGAGCGACGCCGCGUGCGGGAUGAAGGCCCUUUGGGUUGUAAACCGCUGUCACAGGUGAGCAAAUUGUCGAUAGUGAAUAACUAUCGGCAUUGAGUUAAGCUUGAGAGGAAGCCCCCGCUAAUCACGUGCCAGCAGCGGCGGUAAUACGUGAGGGGCGAACGUUGUUCGGUGUCACCGGGCUUAAAGGGUGCGUAGGUGGUUGCGUAAGUAAGGUGUGAAAGCCCUCGGCUUACCCGGGGAAUUGCGCCUUAUACUGCGUGACUUGAGGAUUUCAGGGGAAAGGGGAACUCCGAGUGUAGCGGUGAAAUGCGCAGAUAUUCGGGGGAAGGCCGGCGGCGAAGGCGCCUUUCUGGGAAAUUCCUGACACUGAGGCACGAAAGCGUGGGGAGCAAACAGGAUUAGAUACCCUGGUAGUCC